rnacentral:misc_RNA from 1 species
AACUUUUGACAACGGAUCUCUUGGCUCUAGCAUCGAUGAUGAACGCAGCGAAAUGCGAUAAGUAAUGCAAAUUGCAGAAUUCAGUGAAUCAUCGAGUCUUUGAACGCACAUUGCGCCCGCCAGCAUCCUGGCGGGCAUGCCUGUUCGAGCGUCAUUACCACCCUCAGGCCCUGCCUGGUGUUGGGAGCCUGCGCCUGCAGCCCCCGAAAGACAGCGGCGGUCCCGGCCCCGGCCCCGAGCGUAGUACUAAACGUCGCUCCGGGCGCCGGGCGGGCCCCAGCCGAAAGCCACUAUUCUCUAGGUUGACCUCGGAUCAGGUAGGAAUACCCGCUGAACUUAAGCAUAUCAAUAAGCGGAGGCU